rnacentral:rRNA from 1 species
UACAGAGGUCUCAAGCGUUGUUCGGAUUCAUUGGGCGUAAAGGGUGCGUAGGCGGCGCGGUAAGUCGGGUGUGAAAUUUCGGAGCUUAACUCCGAAACUGCAUUCGAUACUGGCGUGCUUGAGGACUGGAGAGGAGACUGGAAUUCAUGGUGUAGCAGUGAAAUGCGUAGAGAUCAUGAGGAAGACCAGUGGCGAAGGCGGGUCUCUGGACAGUUCCUGACACUGAGACACGAAGGCCAGGGGAGCGAACGGG